ACAGCCAAUCCACACAGAACUCCUCUGGAUUCAGGUCUUCCUGCUAUGACAGAUCACACACAGAUGGCUGGCUCGGCCACUGAACAGUACAACACAUCUGGUCAGAGUCCUCAAGGUGCAGAAAAUGUGGAACUGGAGGAUACCUGCUGAUUUCCAUAUCAAGCCACAUGUUAAAUUCCUACGCUACCGAUUCCAGUGUACCAGCCAAUCAGCAUGGCCGAAGAGAUCAGAUCCAGACCACUAGCAAUAGGCCCCAUCCACUAGUGACUGAUCGUUGUUGCAGUGGUUUUUGAACUAUUUAGAGGCAGAAUUUCUACACACUUUUUAGACAACUUGAAAUUGUCAGUGUUGGUUUUUGUUUUCGAGAAGAUACUUGGCUUCUAAGAGGUCCUUGACUGCUGUGUGAAAACUAUUUGUUGUAUAAAAAUUCAACAGCUGUGUUCAACCUCUGUUAAAGUUUAUUGAUGUUGACUGUGCUCUAUUUUCUAGGGUUAGAAAAUGUGAGAACUUCAUUGCUC